GCCUCCAGGAACCACAGGUUAACAAGUGGUGGUUCUUAUUAAGUAACAUGAUAAAACUUAAGUGUCAACUGUAACUUAUAAACCACACAGCAUAAAAUUGAUUGUAAAUAUUGACGAUCAAUCAGUAAGUAAUUAUAAGGAGGUGAGACUGGAGAAGUUUAUGUAGUUUAUGUAGAAGUUUAUACGCUUUCAUGUAUUGAACUGAUAAAAUUGAUGUAUUCUGAAUCUACCCCAAUGGUUUGAUUACCUCCCUCUGUUUCUGUUUAGCUUUUCCACAUGUGUUACAUUGCAUUUCUUAACUGGUUGUUCUUUAGGUGUGACAGUUGGUGAUAUUGGUAUUUGUACUUGCUGUUUUUUUUUUUUUAAGUGGCUGUAUCUGUACAGUACCUAAAACAAUGUGAAAUCACAUUAUCAGAUGAGUCAUUCAAUUUCAAUAUUUGUACAUGAUAUUAAAAAAAUCAAACACAUUUGUGCUCUGUUUAGGGAAGAGUUUUACAUUGACUCUGCAGACUCAGAAGUAUCUGACGUGGAUGACACUAUGCUGGCUUCCCCUGAACAAAAUGAUUCUGAUGUAUGUGUAAUGAAUAACACCACCAUAACUGCUGUAUCUGUGUAUAACGUGUUUCAUCAUGUAGUCAUGACCAGAUUGCUUUUUUUUUUUUUUUUUUUUUAACUUCUUCAGGAUGAGAUGGACCUUGCUACAGUGCUGAAAGAUUUCCAGCAAACCCAUAUCGACACCUGCUGUUCUUUUACCACAAUAGCUCGAUGGAGGAAAAUCCUCCAUAGUGCCUGCACGGCACUCUCGAAAUCAUAUUUUGCCUGGCAUAAAUUGCCAAAUAUUGAAUUUAUGGGUGAAAUGGCAGAGGAUUAUGGAGGUCCAAGGCGGGAAUUUUUUCGUAAACUUAAAGUGCCAUCUCUCCAAUACAGUAAUGGAAAGCAUGCAUUUGUUGUUUUUUGUCAUAAACAUGAUAUCCCCAUAUGACACAAAUAUUUUACUCACUUUCCCUGCAGGUUACUUUUGGUAGAAGCUCAGAAUUCCCUUGGGAUUUUCGAGGGGAAGCCUGGGAAUCUGUUGUUCAGCUAUAGCCAACAGUUGCUGUCAAGCAACAAAUUUUAUACAGCUGGAAAACUGAUUGCUUGGUCCAUUGCACACAAUGGGCCAGGCCCUCACCGUUUGAACAGACACCUGUUCUUUAUGAUGUGAGGCCAGAAGACGUCUCUUGACAACUUUAAUGUAGAUGUCUUGAUGGACAAAGGCAUCACACGCAACAUAGAAAAGGGUUGCUAGCAUGAUCCAGCAGUUUGUUGCCAGCAUGGAUUCACGUGGUCAGUUCUGACAAACUGUGAAGAGAUUCUGGAAUCAGUUCCUUCCUGUGUUUACAAAUGGUGGACAAAAACUUACGAGGAACAGCUUCCAGAAUCUCUUCACCAUUGCAUGGAGUCCUGCAGGGAGUAACAAACGCGAAGAAGCGGAAACCACCAUCUUUCAGUGGGAAUGGUGGCUUAUGGCCAUUCAAGAGCAAGAGGUGGGCCACACAUUUGAAGAUCUGCUGGUCUUUGUAACUGGGGCUGACUUCCUUCCACCACUGGGGUUCCCACAGUCCUGCAACACUGACUUUUAUGAUCAGGAGUCAUGGAUGUGCCGCAUACCCUACGCAUCGACGUGCAGCUUAUGCCUUUAUCUUCCAAGAGGUGUUGCAGAUGAGAAACAAUUUAUAAACACUGCAUUAAAAGUAUCCCCGGGUUUCGGAAAGGCAUAGUUGUGCAUUUACAUGAACUGAUGCUGCACUACUUUACAGUAUCUCUGGAAAGCUGUGGUUAAAACCUGUGGCCUUUUGGGAUGAAGUUGGGUUGUUCUCACUGUUCCUGAAUGGGAUUGCUCCUGGCACCCUGCCUUCUCCUGAAUUGUACAUUUUUAAAAUGUAUAGAUGGAAAGUGUUUAGUAUAAAAGUUGUUUUUUUUGUUGUUUUUUUUUAAACAAAUGUGACUGUUCUCUGUAUAUAGUUGCAUUUAUGGUUCAGUUAAGACAAGAGUGGGGUAUGCAUGCAACAAGCCAUGCACAAAAUAUUAUGUUCAAACUUUGAACCGAAAGACACAUUUAGUUUACAAAAGUGAAAUAAAGUAUUGUAAUGUCAAAUACUGGUAUUGGGAUCAUUGACGAGGGCUGUUCAGUACACAGGUAGGUGCUUAAGUCAAGGUAAAUGGUUCAAUGAGAACAGAUAAGGGUAAAUUCAAACUGAGAACUCAGAUUCCAUCUCAACUCAGACUUGAAAGCUAAGCUCUGAAUUUGUUCAGCUGCUUUCAUGAACAAAGCACAGGUUUAACUCCGACUAACUUUGAAGUCAGAGUUGUUUAAC